rnacentral:rRNA from 1 species
UACAGAGGGUGCGAGCGUUAAUCGGAAUUACUGGGCGUAAAGCGCACGUAGGCGGCCGACUAAGUCGGGUGUGAAAGCCCAGGGCUUAACCCUGGAAGUGCACUCGAAACUGGUCGGCUUGAAUAUGGAAGAGGGUCGCGGAAUUCCCGGUGUAGAGGUGAAAUUCGUAGAUAUCGGGAGGAACACCAGUGGCGAAGGCGGCGACCUGGGCCAAUAUUGACGCUGAGGUGCGAAAGCGUGGGGAGCAAACAGG